GUGAAUCAUCGAAUUUUUGAACGCAAAUUGCACUCCCUGGUAUUCCGGGGAGUAUGCCUGUUUGAGGGUCGGUAGAAUAAAAAAUCGAGGUGUCGCGCUUUUUUUGAGGGUGAUCGCGUCGGAAUUGUGCCGACUUUCAAAAGUUAAUUAAUGCUAAAGUGAAUUAAAAUUCAUUCAUCCG
rnacentral:misc_RNA from 1 species